CCUACGGGAGGCAGCAGUGGGGAAUUUUGCGCAAUGCUCGUAAGAGUGACGCAGCGACGCCGCGUGAAUGACGAAGGCCUUCGGGUCGUAAAGUUCUUUCGACAGGGAAGAAAAUGCCUAUAAGUAACUGUGUAUGUAUUGACGGUACCUGUAUAAGCAGCCCCGGCUAACUCCGUGCCAGCAGCCGCGGUAAUACGGAGGGGGCGAGCGUUGUUCGGAGGGACUGGGCGUAAAGAGCACGUAGGCGGUGUUGUAAGUCAUUAGUCAAAGACUAGAGCUCAACUUUAGUAAGGCUAGUGAUAGUAUAAUACUAGAGUAUCAGAGAGGAGUGCAGAAUUGCUGGUGUAGCGGUGAAAUGCGUAGAUAUCAGGAGGAAUACCGUUAGCGAAGGCGGCAAUCUGGCUGGAAACUGACGCUGAGGUGCGAAAGCGAGGGUAGCAAACAGGAUUAGAUACCCUAGUAGUC
rnacentral:rRNA from 1 species